CUACGGGUGGCACCAGCAGGGAAUAUUGCACAAUGGACGGAAGUCUGAUGCAGCGACGCCGCGUGGAUGAUGAAGGCCUUCGGGUUGUAAAAUCCUUUUCAGGGAGAAGAGGAAGGACGGUAUCCCUGGAAUAAGCGUCGGCUAACUACGUGCCAGCAGCCGCGGUAAUACGUAGGACGCAAGCGUUAUCCGGAUUUACUGGGCGUAAAGCGUCUGUAGGCGGUUUAGUAAGUUUGAUGUGAAAGCUCCAGGCUCAACUUGGAGAGUGCAUUGAAUACUGCUAGACUUGAGGGGAUCAGAGGAAAGCGGAAUUUCCGGUGUAGCGGUAAAAUGCGCAGAUAUCGGAAAGAACACCAGUGGCGAAGGCGGCUUUCUGGGAUCAACCUGACGCUGAGGGACGAAAGCUAGGGUAGCGAACAGGAUUAGAUACCCUCGUAGUC
rnacentral:rRNA from 1 species